rnacentral:lncRNA from 1 species
CCCUGCUGGAAUUAGCGAUUUGCUGGCUGAAGUGUCCGCUGAAGUGGAUGGGCCAGUGCCAGGAUACCUCUCUUCCCCCCAGAGCAUAACAGACACGUGCCUGUACAUCUUCACCUCUGGCACCACGGGCCUCCCCAAGGCUGCUCGGAUCAGUCAUCUGAAGAUCCUGCAAUGCCAGGGCUUCUAUCAGCUGUGUGGUGUCCACCAGGAAGAUGUGAUCUACCUCGCCCUCCCACUCUACCACAUGUCCGGUUCCCUGCUGGGCAUCGUGGGCUGCAUGGGCAUUGGGGCCACAGUGGUGCUGAAAUCCAAGUUCUCGGCUGGUCAGUUCUGGGAAGAUUGCCAGCAGCACAGGGUGACGGUGUUCCAGUACAUUGGGGAGCUGUGCCGAUACCUUGUCAACCAGCCCCCGGUGCGUGGGCACAGAUCCUGGGCAGAGCUGCUGACACAGGGCUAGCUCACGGGGAGCAGGACAGUUGACAGGAGACAGGGAGUUGGAGGGAGAAGCAGCAAGAAGAAAAUGGCAGUGUAAGAUAAGGAGCCAGAGAUGGCCUAGGCCAUCUGAUGCUUACGGCCUCUGAAGGAGGUCACAGUAGGAGGGGGUUCUGGGGA